AUUGAACGCUGGCGGCAGGCCUAACACAUGCAAGUCGAGCGGAUGAAGGGAGCUUGCUCCUGGAUUCAGCGGCGGACGGGUGAGUAAUGCCUAGGAAUCUGCCUGGUAGUGGGGGAUAACGUCCGGAAACGGGCGCUAAUACCGCAUACGUCCUGAGGGAGAAAGUGGGGGAUCUUCGGACCUCACGCUAUCAGAUGAGCCUAGGUCGGAUUAGCUAGUUGGUGGGGUAAAGGCCUACCAAGGCGACGAUCCGUACUGGUCUGAGAGGAUGAUCAGUCACACUGGAACUGAGACACGGUCCAGACUCCUACGGGAGGCAGCAGUGGGGAAUAUUGGACAAUGGGCGAAAGCCUGAUCCAGCCAUGCCGCGUGUGUGAAGAAGGUCUUCGGAUUGUAAAGCACUUUAAGUUGGGAGGAAGGGCAGUAAGUUAAUACCUUGCUGCUUUGACGUUACCAACAGAAUAAGCACCGGCUAACUUCGUG
rnacentral:rRNA from 1 species